rnacentral:rRNA from 1 species
CCUACGGGAGGCAGCAGUGGGGAAUUUUGGACAAUGGGCGCAAGCCUGAUCCAGCAAUGCCGCGUGAGUGAAGAAGGCCUUCGGGUUGUAAAGCUCUUUUGUCAGGGAAGAAACGGCUGAGGUUAAUACCUUUGGCUAAUGACGGUACCUGAAGAAUAAGCACCGGCUAACUACGUGCCAGCAGCCGCGGUAAUACGUAGGGUGCAAGCGUUAAUCGGAAUUACUGGGCGUAAAGCGUGCGCAGGCGGUUUUGUAAGUCUGACGUGAAAUCCCCGGGCUCAACCUGGGAAUUGCGUUGGAGACUGCAAGGCUGGAGUCUGGCAGAGGGGGGUAGAAUUCCACGUGUAGCAGUGAAAUGCGUAGAGAUGUGGAGGAACACCGAUGGCGAAGGCAGCCCCCUGGGUCAAGACUGACGCUCAUGCACGAAAGCGUGGGGAGCAAACAGGAUUAGAUACCCUGGUAGUCCACGCCCUAAACGAUGUCUACUAGUUGUCGGGUCUUAAUUGACUUGGUAACGCAGCUAACGCGUGAAGUAGACCGCCUGGGGAGUACGGUCGCAAGNUUAAAACUUAAAGGAAAUUGACGA